CUGAGGUUAUAGCUCAGUGGUAGAGUGCUCGCCUCGCAUGUGGAAGGCGCUGGGUUCGAUCCUCAGCACCACAUA
rnacentral:tRNA from 1 species